rnacentral:rRNA from 1 species
CUACGGGAGGCAGCAGUGAGGAAUAUUGGGCAAUGGGCGCAAGCCUGAUCCAGCUAUCCCGCGUGCAGGAUGACGGCCCUAUGGGUUGUAAACUGCUUUUAGUAGGGACGAAACGCUCCGAUUUAUCGGAGCCUGACGGUACCUACAGAAUAAGCACCGGCUAACUCCGUGCCAGCAGCCGCGGUAAUACGGAGGGUGCAAGCGUUAUCCGGAAUCACUGGGUUUAAAGGGUGCGUAGGUUGCUUGAUAAGUCAGGGGUGAAAGCCCACCGCUCAACGGUGGAAUUGCCUUUGAUACUGUCAGGCUUGAAUAAGGUUGAGGUCGGCGGAAUGUGUCAUGUAGCGGUGAAAUGCAUAGAUAUGAUAUAGAACACCAAUUGCGAAGGCAGCUGGCUAGACCUUUAUUGACACUGAGGCACGAAAGCGUGGGUAGCGAACAGGAUUAGAUACCCGAGUAGUCC